UCAUUUGAAAUUGGGAUUUCAGCACCAAAGUCAAAUUGCCUUCCUUCCUGAAAGAUGAGCAUUUUUUAUACUCUUACAUCGGCUUUUAUGGAAAUGAAAUCAGCUUCUCAUUCUGUUACAUAUUUCAAUUUUACUGCCUAUAACUGCUCACUGGCUGUUUGUGAGAGGUAUGGACCCAUGGGACAUUAUCCAGAUUUUCCCUGAUCAAUUAUAGAAAGGUCAUUGGACUCAUCCAUGAUUGGAAUUUCCUGUUAUCAUUAUUUGCAAAUCAUCAACCAUUUGUCAUGAUAUCUUAAGUUCAGCUGAGCAAGAUUUUCAGCUAAGAUCCUCAGAACUAGAAAUAUGCACUGCAGGUAUUACUUGAUAUGUGAAUAUCCAAUACGAUAUUUUUUUACUAAGAGGAAUACGAAUUUGAAACACUUUCCAAUAAUUUAUCAAGUCAUAUUUUUGUGUUGUCGUGAUACAUGUGUCUACUGUAUGCAUGGCUUUUCUUUUCUACACAUGCCUUUAUCUUUGCACAUGACUCUUUUGAUACACGCCAGCAUCAAGGCAAUUGCCUAAAUCUAAAUCACAUCCUUUGUGUCACGUCUUCCUUGUGUACCACGGUCCCUCUUGUACACCAUGGUCCCUUAAUGUAACUUGUGCCACAAGCCCUUUGUGCAUGAAUUCAAACUGUUCAAUCAUUUCGCCAUUUAUACCUUUUGAGGUCCAACAAGCGUAUACAAGAGACUACACUCAUUCUAGAUGAUGAAGUACAUUCUAAUGAAAGGAACCAUGUUGAAGACUCGUAUCCCUUUAUGUGUGAGAUUGAUUUUAUCUUUGUGUUUUGUACCAAGUAUGUUAGAAUUGAAGCUUUUGCCUACAUAAGUGGCAUGAAAGUUUUCACUAGCUCCAAAUCCCUAACACACACAACCUUGGCUUACUUCUUGAGCCGAUACAAAAAAUCAGAGCCUUAACUCAUCCCGACCCCUAUAAGAGGCCCUAGCCAUCACAUUGGAGCUUAACCAUCUUACAACACAUCCAUCAGAAUUUAGACUAUUCAUAGAAACAUUCUUAACAUGUAAAUCUACUAUUGCCAUGCACGUCAACAUAGAAUUUCUAAAAUUUUUGGAUAAAAUAAAUAAAACAAAAGAAACCCUCCCAAGAGAAUUUCAUAAUCUAAUGUCAAAUCUACUACGAAGAUGAACAUCAUAAAAUUUAAGGUUUAUAAUCAAAGUCGACUUGAAUCUGAGUUUUAAAACCAAUUUGCAGUUUUUAAGUUUGGAGACUAGAUCUCUUAAACCAAUUAAAUGUAAAAAACUACAAAGAAAACUUCAAUUUUUGAAAUGAAAAUGAGAAUGCAAUUCCUAACUAGUUUCUUCAUCAAAAAUCCCCAAAAAAAAAAAAAAAAAAAAGAGAGAGAGAGAGACCAUAGACGCCAGUGUUUGGGUUUAGAACCACCCAAGGGAGAGUAGUCCAAUAUAUGGGCUUAAGAAAAUCCUCAUGGGCUAAGACUAGGAACAAUCUUGUAUCCGUGGUUGGUUUAGUAUGAGCAUGUGUACUGCGAAGGAAGUAGCUGAGAAUUGCAAUGGAAUUUCCAGUAUUGCUUCCUGAACGAACAAAACGCAUACCCAAGACUUGGUCGUCAACGCCAUGCUGGGUGAGAACCGGGGAAGCAUCUUCGCUCGUUGACGAGCUUUUGUAGUCUUUCUUUAACAAUUAUAAGGCAUCUGAAUUCCCUUCAUCCUCCCACACCAUUGUUUUUGGUCUUAUUCUUGUUGCUUUGUGACUACGCAUCUCCAUGGAAGGAAGGAGGAUGAACCAAGUUCCUUUGUAUGCAUCAAUUUUACUGUUUUUUUUUUCCUUUUUAAUCUUUGGAUCGAAUCAUUGCUUAGUUCUUGCUUAAUUUCUCCAUUUUAUGGUGGGUCUUUGAUUGCAGGUUUAGCUCUGCGCGAGAACUGGGAAAUUUAAUUGUGACCUCCAAUCUAAUCGACUCUGCUUUGACUAAAAUUCUUGAGCUUCAAAGAGACCAAACAGCCUUGCCUUCCCCCGUUCAAUACAGAGUUUUUUAUCCAUCUCCCAAGUGCACAAUUGUAGCUUUUGUCUCUUCACCUGACUGCACUCAAAACCCUCUUCCUGGACAAGGAGAUUUAGUUCCCUCUCCUCUCUUUGACUUCCUCUGCACCGAAGAAUACCCUUCCGUCUCCAUUAACGGAGCCGCAUUAACCCUCUUUACCUCUCUCUACGAUCAUCUCUCUGGACUAAUAGAUGAGGUCAAAAUCUGAUACUUGUUUUAAUUUACGUUAACUUUUCGUUAACAAUUGUGAGACACGAAACAGCUUGACCAUGAGAUCUCCCUCAUGGAGUCAAAACCCGUGUUGGUAUCUGUUUUUAGAUCAACUUAUAUAUAUAUAUAUAUAUAUAUAUAUAUAUCUUGUGGAUAAAAGGAAAGUUUACAAGUGAGAAUAGUGGCAUUUUUCUGACAGAUUUCACACCGUUGCUUGUUUUGCAGUUGACUGUGAUUGAAGGUCGAUUAAUCAUCACUGGGCACUCGAUGGGAGGAUCCGUUGCUUCUCUCUUCACCUUAUGCCUGCUAGAAGUCAUUAAUAUAUCAAAACCCAAAUGCCGCCCCAUUUGCAUCACCUUUGGUUCACCCCUCAUAGGCGACUUUGGCCUCCAACACUCCAAUUGGAAUUCUUUCUUCUUGCAUGUAGUGUCCAACCAAGAUCUAGUCCCCGGACUCUUCCUCCCAUCCGGCAGAUCUCCUCCCACAUCCUCCCAUUCACAAACUACUGGUUACAAGCCCUUUGGGACAUAUCUCUUGUGCUCUGAACUUGGUUGUGCUUGUUUUGACAACCCUGAUUUAAUUUUGGAAUUGCUGAAAGUCAUAUCAUCAGAGGUUGCCGGAGGAUUGCGGGAUGUUGAUUACAGGAAGAUUUUAAUAAACCUCAAGGAGAGGGCAAUCUUCAAGGGACUUCAGCAGGUGGGUGAAAGGUUUGCAGAUCCCUUGUCAGCUGGGAUCGUCAUGGACCUUGAGAUAAUUGGAUUUGAUCAAACAAAGGUAAACAGCUUUCUCCCAAUUAAUGAUGUAGUAUGGUUUACACUCAACUUCACCAAAACCUGCAACAACUGCCCUAUUUAGAUUUGCCUUCCUGUUCUUUGGGUUCUUCUAUAACUUCUCAUUUUUUAAAUUCAUGGCAGCUGUUGCGGCACAACAUUGAUAUCAACACUGUGAUAAGGAUACUGGGAGUGGAAGCCAGAAUCCUAGCCCACAAAAAUAAAGCUUCUGAUGCCAAGAAACUGAAUGACAUAAAAAUACACAUGGCCCAGCUAGAAUGGUAUAAGAAGAAAUCAAAAGAUCUGAACAAGGGUUACUACGACUGCUUCAAAAACCAGGGGUCAAAAAGGGACAUUAAAAUUGAACAGUAUAGGGGACACCUCACAAUAUACUGGAAAGACAUGGUUGCACAAGUACAGAGGAAGCCCCAGAAGGAAGGAGCAUCAUUUCGAACCAGUUGGCUCUAUCCAGGGACAACUUAUAGAAGAAUGGUUGAACCACUGGACAUUGCUGCCUUCUACAGAGAGGGUAGAACAGACUACAUAAACAAUGGAAGAUCUCCUCAUUACAAGCUGUUGCAGCAAUGGUAUGAGGAAGAUGUGAAGCCCCCAUCCAGAGAUAAGCUCGAUUCCAAGAAACUAAAGGUGUCUGGUAUCCUAACUGAGGAUUCUUUGUUUUGGGCACAUGUGGAGGAGGCUCUCUUGUCAUGCGAAUCGCUCAAGAGUGCAAACUCUACUCUUGAGCAGAGAAAAUCAUCAUGGGAUAAUCUGGUUAAGUUUGGGGAGUAUGUAAUGGAACAGAUUGGAAACUAUGCAGUGUCCCCUGAGAUUUUCUUGGGGGAAAGCAGCUUCAUGAAAUGGUGGGGAGUGUAUGAGGACUACAUAGAUGCUUCCAAUAAUUCCUAUGGGUCACCAUUGAUCAGCUUUAUGAAGAACCGUAGUUAUAGACUGUAUGGUUAGAGGGCAAUCCAGUUUGUGUAUUGUGUUUAUUGUAUUGUGAGCAUUCAAUAGAUAAAACUAGAAAGAGCGUGACCUUUUUAUGACAACUUUAGAAACCAGGGGUUAAAAGAGACAUUACAAACUGAAGUUUUUGAGAGGAAACCUCAAGAGUAUACUGGGAAGCCAUGGUGGAACAAGUAGAGAGGAAGCCUCAGAAGGAAGGAGCAAUGGUUGAACCACUUGACAUUGUUGCCUACUACAGGGAGGGUGUAAGAAACAACAUAACCGAGGGAAGAUCUGAACGUUAAACGUUGUCCAAUUAUUAUAAAUGUCUUAUACAUUACGUGUGAAAAUACCAAAAAAAAUUAUAUUCAACAUUUAUGUUUGUAUACAAGCAAUAUUUUGGAUAGUUUGAUAUAAAAAACAAAUGAAGAAAAUGAAGAAAAACAUACAAAUAUAUUUACAAUGGACAAACUUAUACAAUUAGUAUAAAUGUCUUGUAUAUUUAGUACAAAUGUCUCGUACUUUGUAAAAAUAUAAAAAUAUAGUAUUUGACUUUUAUAUAUGUGUGAAAAUGUAAAAAGAAAAAGAAAAAUAGUUAGAGCAUUUGGUACCGUGAGUGAUGACUUCACCUAAAGAAAGGUUAAUGAAUAUUAUGGUCUCGAUGGAAGAGCGACUCCGGUAAAAUAUAUGGAUUAAAUUGAUGCUUUUCUUUUGACGAUGAAGUAGUUGAGUUAUGAAUACGAGGUUUUGCUAACAGCAUUGAAGGCAAGGAUUCCCUAAUAUACUCCAAUUCAUAUUCAAUUUGUAGACCUUCAACUAACUACUCUUGCUAACGAGCAUAUCCAAGUCAAUACAUAAGAUUAAUUAAGAUUAAGUAUUACGUAUGAUAAUUGAAACCCUAUUUAAAUAAAUAAUGACACAUAUAUAAAAAAUAUAUAUAUUUUUAAAAAAAUAAAUAACAAUUUAGAGAAUUUCAUAACUUAGCAUCAAACCUAUUGUAAGAAAGAGUAUUAUACAAUGUAGGGUUUAGGAUCCAAGUCAACCUAAGAUCAAAUUUAAGUUUUAAGAUCAAUUCACAUUCAAAACUAAGGUUUUAAGUUUCAAAAAUAUAUUUCUUAAACCAAUUAAAUGGAAAAAAGAAAAUUACAAAGAAAAUUUCUCCCUCAUCAGUUUCUUUUAUCUUGAAAACUAAAGGAAAUAUAUAUCAAUAUUUGAGAUGGAAAUUCAUAAUCUUAGGUGGUGUUUGUUUUUUUGGCUUUUUGCUGAAAACUAUUUAGUUUUAGAAUUUAGGUUUUUUUUUUUUUUUACUUUUUCAUGACUUAUAAUAAACUUUUUACUAAAUAGAAAAAACCAAAAUAUGUGGUUUUUUCUAAAUAGAAAAAAUAACACAAUGGUUUUUUUUACUUUUUAAUACUUAAUAGAAAUAAAAUACUACAAAAACAAACAUCUUAAUAUUUAAUACUAUUAAGUAUUAAGGUUCUAUUUAGAAUUAAGUAAAAAAACAAACACCACCUUAGAAACACAAAGAACAAAGAGAGUAUGAAGAGACCAUACCAUGAGAGAUUUUCCGAAAGGUUGGUAAACCAUGGUAAUCACCUUUGAGUCUUGCUGAGAAAAACAAACCUUAUUUAUUUUUAUUUUUUUAUCAUUUUUUCUCUUGUGUGGUGUACAUUUAAGAAAAACAAAUCUCAAAAAAAAAAAAAAACACAAACCAAAUAAUGCCAGAAUUUGGGUUGAGAAACACCCAAAAGAUAGUGGCCCAAUACAUGUGCCUAAGAAAAUCUUCAUGAGCCGAUAAACAUAGUCACAAAACUAGUAACAGCCUUGUAGCCAUAGUUGGUGUAGUAUGAGCAAGUGGGGUAUGAAGUAGGUAGGUGAGUAUUGCAAUGAAAUUUCCAGCACUGCUUCCUGAAUUAAGAAAUCACAUACCCAAGUCUUAGUCGUCGUCGUCGUCGUACCGUGUGAGAACCGGGAAGAAUCUUUGCUCGUAGACUGGCUUUUGUAGUCUUUCUUUAACAAUUACAAGUUAUCUGAAUUCCCUUCAUCCUCCUAUAUAAUAUUGUUUUGGUCUUGUUCUUGUUGCAUUGUGGCUAGGCAUCUCCAUGGAAGGAAGGAGGAUGAAUCAAGUUCCUUUGUAUGAAUCAAUUUCUCUGCUCUUUUUUUUUUUCAAUCCUUGAAUCGAAUCAUUGCUUAGUUCUUGCUUUAAUUUCUCCAUUUUCUGUUGGGUCUUUGAUUGCAGGUUUAGCUCUGCAAGAGAACUGGGAAAUUUAAUUGUGACCUCCAAUCUAAUCGACUCUGCUUUGACUAAAAUUCUUGAGCUUCAAAGAGACCAAACAGCCUUGCUUUCCCCCGUUCAAUACAGAGUUUUUUUAUCCAUCUCCCAACUGCACAAUUGUAGCUUUUGUCUCUUCACCUGACUGCACUCAAAACCCUCUUCCUGGACAAGGAGAUUUAGUUCCCUCUCCUCUCUUUGACUUCCUCUGCACCGAAGAAUACAAGUCCGUCUCCAUUAACAGAGCUGCAUUAACCCUCUUUACCUCUCUCCACGAUCAUCUCUCUGGACUAAAAACUCAGGUCAAAAUAUGAUAGUUGUUUUUAUUUUCGUUUCCUUUUUGUUAACAAUUGUGAGACAUGAAACAGCUUGACCAUGAGAUCUCUCUCAUAGAGUCAAACUACCUGAAGAAGAAGAAGACGUUACACAUAUCCAUCUGCGUUGCAUCAUCGCAUUACCCAUUGAUCGGUUGUGAUUCAACUCUUAAUAGGAAGACAGUAGAACUGGUGUUGGUAUCUGUUUUUAGAUCAGCUUAUAUGUAUCUUGUUGCUAAAAAGGGAAUGUUUAGAAGUGAGAUUAAUGGGAUUAUUCUGACAUGGAUUUCAUAUGGUUACCUGUUUUGCAGUUGACUGUGAUUGAAGGUCAAUUAAUCAUCACUGGGCACUCCCUGGGAGGAGCCGUUGCUUCUCUCUUCACCUUAUGCCUGCUAGAUGAAAAUUUAUUAAAACCCAAAUGCCGCCCCUUUUGUAUCACCUUUGGUUCACCCCUCGUCGGCGGCUUUGGCCUCCAACACUCCAUAUGGAAUUCUUUCUUCCUGCAUGUAGUGUCUAACCAAGACCCAGUCCCCGGUCUCUUCCUCCCAUCUGGCAGAGGCAGAUCUACGCCCACAUCCUCCCAUUCACAAACUACCGGUUACAAGCCCUUUGGGACAUAUCUCUUGUGCUCUGAACUUGGUUGUGCUUGUUUUGACAACCCUGAUUUAAUUUUGGAAUUGCUGAAAGUCAUAUCAUCAGAGGUUGCCGGAGGAUUGCAGGAUGUUGAUUAUGGGGAGAUUUUAAGAAACCUCAAGGAGAGGGCAAUCUGCAAGGGACUUCCGCAGGUGGGUGAAAGGUUUGCAAAUCCAUUUUCAGCUGGGAUCAUCAUGGAACUUGAGACAAUUGGAUUUAAUCAAACAAAGGUAAACAGCUUUCUCCCAUCUAAUGAUGUUAUGGAACAUGGUUUACACCUCAUUAAAUACUGCAACAACUGCCCUAUUUAGAUUUACCUUCUUGUUCUUUGGGAUUUUCCAUAACUAGACUCAUUUUUUAAUUUCAUGGCAGCUGCUGCAGCAUAACAUUGAUAUCGAGACUGUGAUAAGCGCAAUGGAAGCGGAAGCAAGAAACCUAACCCAGAAAAAUAAAGCUUCCGAUGCCAAGAAACUGAAUGAAAUAAAAAUAGACAUGACCCGGCUAGAAUUGUAUAAGAAGAAUUCGAACAUGGGUUACUACGAUUGCUUCAAAAACCAGGGGUCUAAAAGGGACAUCCACGUUGAACAGUUUAGGGUAAACCUCACAGGGUACUGGGAAGGCAUGGUUGCACAAAUACAGAGGAAGCCUCAUAAGGAAGGAGCAACAUUUCGAACCCGUUGGCUCUAUGCAGGGACGGUUUAUAGAAGAAUGGUUGAACCACUGGACAUUGCUGCCUUCUACAGAGAGGGUAGAAAAGACUACAUGAAUAAAAGAUCUGCACAUUACAAGCUGUUGCAGGAAUGGUAUGAGGAAGAUGUGAAACCCCCCUCUAGAGAUAAGCUUGAUUCCAAGAAGCAAAAGGUGUCCAGUAUCCUAACUGAGGAUUCUUGCUUUUGGGCACAUGUGGAGGAGGCUAUCUUGUCAUGCGAAUUGCUCAAGAGUGAAAACUGUAAUCUUGAGGAGGGAAAAUCAUCAUGGGAUAAUCUGGUUAAGUUCGAGGAGUAUGUAAUGGAACAGAUUGACAACUAUGCAGUGUCCCCUGAGAUUUUCUUGGAGAAAAGCAGCUUCAUGAAAUGGAGGGGACUGUAUGAGGGCUACAUAGAUACUCGCAGUAAUUCCCAUAGCUCGCCAUUGAUCAGCUUUAUGAAGAAUCGUAGUUAUAGACAAUAUGGAUAGAGGGGUAAUCCAGUUUGUGUGUUGUGUGUAUUGUUUUGUGAGCAUUCAAUGGAUAGAACUAGAAAGAGUGUGACCUUUUCCUUUUUUUUUUCAGUUGCUGCCCAUAUUCUCAGCACUAUUUUCUUCCUUCUUUUCCUCAGUUUUUUUGUUAAGAAAUGAAUAUUAUGAUGUUGCCGGGAUGCACUUUCAUUUUUGUUCCAUUACAUUGUGUUUUAUUCAUAUCCUAAACAAAUAAAUGUAAACAAGAAAAUCAAAUGAGACUUCAAAGAGUCUGUUCCUUUUAAAGCAAGGGAAAAAAAGGACAUGUUUGUUUACUUCCACAGCUGGGUAGAUUCAACUCCACCAAAAUUGGCAACAACUUCCCAUUGAAAAAUUCCUUUUAAGCUUGAAUGACAUAAAACUAGAUAUGUUCCAGCUAGAAUGGUACAAGAAAGAAAUCAAAAGAUGAGCACAAUGGGUUAUUAUGACAGCUUUAGAAACCUGGGGUGUAAAAGAGACAUUAAAAUGGAACCGAGGGGAAGACAUUGUAGAACAAGUAAAGAGGAAGCCUCACCAGGAAGGGCAGCUUUGCAAACCCUCUGGCUCUGUACAGGAACGAAUUAUAGAAAGAUGGUUGAACCACUUGACAUUGCUGCCUACCACAGAGAGGGUGGAAGAAACUACAUAACCAAUGGAGGAUGUAAACAUUACACGCUAUUAGAGCAAUGAUGCAAUGAAGAGAAGGGGACUUUGUCUUCCAAUAAUUUAAGAAAAUAAAACCAAAUAAUGCCAGAAUUUGGGUUGAGAAACACCCAAAAGAUAGUGGCCCAAUAUGAAGUAGUCACAAAACUAGUAACAGCCUUGUGGCCAUAGUUGGUGUAGUAUGAGCAAGUGGGGUAUGAAGUAGGUAGGUGAGUAUUGCAAUGAAAUUUCCAGCACUGCUUCCUGAAUUAAGAAAUCACAUACUCAAGUCUUAAUCGUUGUCAUCAUACCGUGUGAGAACCGAGGAAGAAUCUUUGCUCUUAGACUGGAUUUUGUAGUCUUUCUUUAACAAUUACAAGUUAUCUGAAUUCCCUUCAUCCUCCUAUAUAAUAUUGUUUUUGGUCUUGUUCUUGUUGCAUUGUGGCUAGGCAUCUCCAUGGGAGGAAGGAGGAUGAAUCAAGUUCCUUUGUAUGAAUCAAUUUCUCUGCUCUUUUUUUUUUCAAUCCUUGAAUCGAAUCAUUGCUUAGUUCUUGCUUUAAUUUCUCCAUUUUCUGUUGGGUCUUUGAUUGCAGGUUUAGCUCUGCAAGAAAACUGGGAAAUUUAAUUGUGACCUCCAAUCUAAUCGACUCUGCUUUGACUAAAAUUCUUGAGCUUCAAAGAGACCAAACAGCCUUGCCUUCCCCCGUUCAAUACAGAGUUUUUUAUCCAUCUCCCAACUGCACAAUUGUAGCUUUUGUCUCUUCACCUGACUGCACUCAAAACCCUCUUCCUGGACAAGGAGAUUUAGUUCCCUCUCCUCUCUUUGACUUCCUCUGCACCGAAGAAUACAAGUCCGUCUCCAUUAACAGAGCUGCAUUAACCCUCUUUACCUCUCUCCACGAUCAUCUCUCUGGACUAAAAACUCAGGUCAAAAUAUGAUAGUUGUUUUUAUUUUCGUUUCCUUUUUGUUAACAAUUGGGAGACAUGAAACAGCUUGACCAUGAGAUCUCUCUCAUAGAGUCAAACUACCUGAAGAAGAAGAAGACGUUACACAUAUCCAUCUGCGCUGCAUCAUCGCAUUACCCAUUGAUCGGUUGUGAUUCAACUCUUAAUAGGAAGACAGUAGAACUGGUGUUGGUAUCUGUUUUUAGAUCAGCUUAUAUGUAUCUUGUUGCUAAAAAGGGAAUGUUUAGAAGUGAGAUUAAUGGGAUUAUUCUGACAUGGAUUUCAUAUGGUUACCUGUUUUGCAGUUGACUGUGAUUGAAGGUCGAUUAAUCAUUACUGGGUACUCGAUGGGA
rnacentral:lncRNA from 1 species